GCCUUCGUGGUGUUGUGGUCAGCACGCUCGACGCGUAUUCGACAGAUCCGAGGUUCGAGUCCCGGCGAGGGUA
rnacentral:tRNA from 1 species